GAUGAACGCUAGCGGCAGGCUUAAUACAUGCAAGUCAAGGGGGUAGCAAUACUACCGGCGCACGGGUGAGUAACACGUACAUAACAUACCAUAUACUGGGGUAUGGCUUUGGGAAACUGAAGGUAAUCCCCCAUAACAUUGCGAGAGGGCAUCUGAUUGCAAUUAAAGUUUCGGCGGUAUAUGAUUGAUGUGCGUUUGAUUAGCUUGUUGGUAGGGUAACGGCCUACCAAGGCGACGAUCAAUAGCUGGCGUGAGAGCGCGACCAGCCACACUGGAACUGAGACACGGUCCAGACUCCUACGGGAGGCAGCAGUAGGGAAUAUUGGACAAUGGGCGAAAGCCUGAUCCAGCCAUGCCGCGUGAUAGAUGAAGGCCCUCUGGGUUGUAAAUAUCUUUUAUCUGGGAAGAAACAAUCUUAUUCUUAAGAUCUUGACGGUACCAGAGGAAUAAGCACCGGCUAACUCCGUGCCAGCAGCCGCGGU
rnacentral:rRNA from 1 species